rnacentral:lncRNA from 1 species
CUUCUCUCCAGAUGUUUUCAGGAUUUGAUGAAAGAUUUUUCUAGAACAAUGUUUCUCAAAGAGCGAUUCCUAGACCCACAGCAUGAGCAUCACCGGGGAACUUAUUAGAAAUGCAAAUUAUCAGGCCUGCCCCAGACCUACUUAAUCAGAAAACCACGGGCAGGGGUGGAGAGGAGAGCAAUGGGUGUUUUAAUAAGCUUUCUAGGUGACUCAGAUACAAACUAAAGUCUGAAGAAGCUGCUCAGAAGAGUGUCCUUGGAUCAGCAGCAUCAGCGCCACCUGGGAGCUUGCCACUUUCUCCUGGGACCCAGCCAAUACACCGUGAGAAGCCCUGGGAGAUGCCAUGAGGAGGAGAACUAAGGCACUCUGGUCCCGCCCCAGCUCAGCUCUCCGCUAACAGCCAACUGGCAGCCCUGUGAGUGAGCCAUGGAAGAUGCUCCAGCCCAGGUGAGCCCACAUGGAGCAGAGAACAUCCCAGCUGAACCCAGUCAAGCCACAGACUUGUGUAGGUAAUAAAUGGUUAUUGUUUUAAGUCACGACAUUUGGGGUGGUUUGCUAUACAUACAGCAAUAGAAAAAGGAAAGAGUAAGCCAAUGAGUGAGCCAGUCAUGUGCCUUGUGAAGGCAUCUCUUUGUCCAAAGUCACUACUAAAUUAUAAAGUUAGGAGCAUUACAACUUUCAUGAAUUUUCCCUGAAAUUCUCAGAAGUAGAUAGUUGUAGCUACUUGCAAGAUGAAUAAGCCCAUGAAUUGAGGACUGCGCCAAGGAAAACUGAAUUUCUGAUACAGCACAAUUCACAUGAUUUGACAAGGGACAUUCACAGACUGGGUGAGCGCAGCCAGCCAAGAGUUGUAUUCCUUUGGCCGGAGACAUCUACAAUAUAUCUAAGAAGUUCCUCGAGAAUAUAAAUUGUUCACUUGAAAAUAUCUUACAAUGUCAGCACUUCUGGCCAGGAAAAAGUUUAUAUUCUAGAAAAAUAAAUUCAGGAAGCACACUAUUUUGUAACUCUGGAUUUACUGAUAGUUAAAUUUGAGUCAAUCAAUUUGUGUGGAGCCCCAAGUAUAUGCAAAGCUUAGACCAGGUAGCGAAAGUUAUACCAAGUAAACUAGUGUUGGCUGUCAGAACCUUUAAACCCUAGGAGCAUAGGAGACCUAGUGAAAUACAGUGGAAAGAACAUAAGCUGCGUUAGGAGACCUAGUGGCUAGUCCUGGCUUUGUCACUGGUCCAAUCAGCCUCUGCCAGGAGCAUGGAAGAGAUGCUGAAAUUAUCUUUAAUUUAAGAAAACAGGGGGGGAGUGGUCAUCACUGGAUACAAAUGCUCUACAGUUGGAAGCAGAAUAUCCGCAGGAGCCAUGCAAGGCUGAUUCCUGUCUGUCCUGUGGGCCACAUUCCCCUUCAAGGACCUUGUUCUCA